rnacentral:piRNA from 1 species
UUUACCUGUAUCGAAUAACUC